rnacentral:rRNA from 1 species
CCUACGGGAGGCAGCAGUGGGGAAUAUUGCACAAUGGGGGAAACCCUGAUGCAGCGACGCCGCGUGAGGGAAGAAGUAUUUCGGUAUGUAAAGCUCUAUCAGCAGGGAAGAAACAAGACGGUACCUGACUAAGAAGCCCCGGCCAACUACGUGCCAGCAGCCGCGGUAAUACGUAGGGGGCAAGCGUGAGCCGGAUUUACUGGGGGUCAAGGGAGCGUAGACGGAGAAGGAAGUCUGAAGUGAAAGCCCGGGGCUUAACCACGGGACUGCGUUGGAAACUGUUUGACUAGAGUGCUGGAGAGGUAAGUGGAAUUCGUAGUGUAGCGGUGAAAUGCGUAGAUAUUAGGAGGAACACCAGUGGCGAAGGCGGCUUACUGGACAGUAACUGACGUUGAGGCUCGAAAGCGUGGGGAGCAAACAGGAUUAGAUACCCGUGUAGUC